UAUUUAAUCACUGCUGUUGAAGAGCACUGUGAGUUUGUCAUGUAAGAAAUCCCAUGGGAAAUGAUAACAGACCUGACCACAGAAAAAUGGUAAACUUCUGAACAUUAAGAAGGGCACAGACUAAAAUACAAACAUCUACAUAGAAAGAUCUACAGUAAAAAAUAAGAGAUAAUCAUCUAAUAUCUUCUGAAACAUAGAGCUUAUAAAAAUUGAUUCGAAAAACAUGAAGAUUUCAGAAUAGAAAUGGACAAAGGACACAAGACAACUCACAAUACAGCAAAUAUAAAUAAAUAAAAAACAGAUGGAAAAUGUUCAUCUUGUUACUUAACAAAGGCAAAAUUGAAACAGUAGUAGAGUAAUUUUUCUUACUAUCAAGUUAGCAAAAAUAAUUUCUUUGCCUAAUCAUGUUGAUAAGAGCACAAUGAAACAGGAAAUCUCAUAAACUGCUUGCAGGAGUAUAAAACUUUCUGGAAAGCAAUGUGCUGUUUCCCAAGAGGACUCUAAGGGUUUGUAUCCUUUGACCUAGUAAUUCUGCUUCCAAGAACUUAUCAUCAGAAAGUAAUUUAAAAAUUCCAAAAUAUGGACAUCAUGCAUAAAAGAUGUUCAUUUCAUCAUUGCUUAUUAAAAAAAAAACGGAACACCCUAAAUGCCUACUAUUCAUUUCAAUAUUUUUUGAGCACCUAAUAUGUGUCAAACAAUGAGCUAGAACAGACACCAAACACAAACCAGUUAUGAUUCUUAUCCUUCCAAUACUGGGAGGAACUGCAGGUUGGGAGGAGAUAUACAUUGAAUUAAGUAAUUAUUACACUUGUUACAGGAAUGCAUAGCAGAGGCACCUAACCAGAGGGGGGUGACAUUUAAACUAACUCCUGAAAACUAUGUGAAAGUAAGCAGAAGGGGAUGGCAGAUGAAAUAUUCUGAUUAAUACUUCAAGAAGCAGAAACAAUGGGAAUAAAAGAAUCUUGCCGUUUCAAGGAAGUAUCAUAAUGUGUUCCAGAAAAAGGAAACAACAUAUUGCAAGUCCAGGAGGAAAAAAAUUUGACCUAAAUUAAGAGUGUCCUCAUAUUUCAAAGUGGCGAUGAAGAGAGUCCAAGCAUCUGUUGGGAAGAUGAGACCUAGCAGGAAACACAGUGGAGUUGCUUUCCUCCUCUUCUUCUGAUUAAUUUCACAGGUUUUUCACAUUUUUAGUUUAAAUGUCACCUACGCUGGUUAAGUCCCCUCUGCUAUGAACUCUUGUAGCAAAUGUCAUAAUUACUUGAUUAAAUGCUUAUCUCCUCCAAGACUGUAAGUUCUGCAAGGGUAAGAAUUAUAUCUGCCUUGCAGAUGGGUGUGGUGGCUCACACCUGUAAUCCCAGCACUUUGGGAGGCCGAGGAUCACCCUAGGCCAGGAGUUCGAGACCAGCCUGGCCAAUGUGGUGAAAUCCCAUCUCUACCAAAAGUACAAAAAUUUAGUUGGACAUGGUGGUGCACAUCUGUGGUCCCAGCUACUUGGGAGGCUGAUGUGAGAGGAUUUCUUGAGCCUGGCAGGCGGAGGUUGUAGUAGUGAGCCAAGAUUGCACCACUGCACUCCAGCCUGGGUGACAGAGCGAGACUCUCUCUCAAAAAAAAAAAAAAAAGAAUUUUAUUUGUCUUGUGUUUGGUUUCUGUUCUAGAUCAGUGUUUGACACAUAUUAGGUGCUCAUAAUGGUGUUAGGGAGUGACCCACCACCAGGAAGCACAUGGGAGGAUGGCUAUGUGGCAGUGUUGAGGGACACUGAAUCCGAAGUGCUGGGUCUUGAAUUCAUCAGUAAAAACAUGAAGACCUGGCCCAUCAGGAGGACCCACAAGGGAAUGAGGAAAGGUCAUCGUGUUGGACACACAUCUAUGGUCUGGGCCUGUCAGGCUCCAAGGGUUGUGGUGUGUGUGCACUUGUAUCUCCAAGAGAACGGGAGUGACAUCCCCAAACACAAAUGAGGUUAACUUUUCUAAGGAACAUUGGUUAGUGGCCAGGCGUGGUGGUUCACACCUAUAAUCCCAGCACUCUGGGAGGCCGUGGAGGGUGGAUCACUUGAGGUCAGGAGUUUGAGACCAGCCUGAUCAACAUGGUGAAACCCCAUCUCUACUAAAAAUACAAAAAUUAGCCAGGCAUGGUGACACAUGCCUGUAAUCCCAGCUACUUGCGAGGCUGAGGCAGAAGAAUCGCUUCAACCCAGGAGGCGGAGGUUGCAGUGAGCCGAGGUCACACCACUGCACUCCAGCCUGGGAGACAGAGUGAGACUCUGUCUCAAAACAAAACAAAACAAAACAAAAACCAAAAACAUUGGUUAGUGUAGCCAAGAAAGAUUUUUGACUUAAAAAAUAAAUCUGUUAUCCAUGCAGUGUGUUGAUGAAAAAAAGAAGAUAGUAUGUGUUACAAAUAAGAUAAAUAUUACAUAACCAUUUGUAAGAUUAUUUAUGAAGAGUUUGUAAUGAUGUGGGAAAGAGGUUAUGAUAUAAAGUUAAGCAAAAGAAAAAGUAAAUGCCAAUUAUAAAAAUAGUAUAUUGUUAGCUUUGCUUAAACAUAUAUACGCACACACUAUCCGCAAAAAGCAGGAAUAUACUUCACUCUGUAAGUGGUGGUUAUCUCUGAGUGACAUUUUACAGGAUGUUCCCCUGCUUUUUUUUUACUGUAAUGUACAUUCCAAAUUAUUAGAUUAGUAUAUUUACUUUUACAAAUGGUGAUUAUACAUUUUAAUAGUUUCAGAAUGUUAAGAUCUUAAGAGACUAAGCUUAGUUCUAUAGCUAGCACAUAGUAGCAUUGCAUAAAUAUUAUUCAAUCAAUUAAUGAAGUCAUCACUUCAUCGCAAGAGUGUACACAAAGUAUUAGAACUAUUAAAAUGUUUGUGUGUGCACCAGCCCCAUCAAUUCUGAACAACGCCCUAUGCCCUAUCUGUCAUAAUUAUAUAUUCUUAUUUUUGGGGUCCUCACUCCUUAAAGCAACAUUGUUGUUUCCUUCAUUGCUUCUCCCCAAGCACAGAAGCAAAAAAAAAAAAAGAGAUCAUUUAUUGUUUUAAAACCUUCAUUUAUUUUGGGAUGUCACUACCAAUUUUUCAGGCCUUAGACAUGUAAGCAUGCAUUUCUACUUUUUUAGAUUUUGAAUCAUGUAGAAAUCUAGCCAAAUUAAUUGAGAAUACUCUAUUGAAUAAAUCAACAACUUUACUUCCAGGGUCCUGUUAACCUAAGCUAAAGAUAAAAAAGCAGCAACAAAGUGCCACUGUUAUCUGGUUAAAACUGACAACUGUAAGAUGUAUGGAUGAUUUUCUACAAGUUUAGAAACAGGAAACAGUGCUUGCUGCACUUGCCACAGGGCAUAUAAACUGAGAAAGUUAUGUAGAAAUUCAAGAUCAGAGGAUGAGCGCAAGGAUGAUCUUUGAGAACAAAACAGUGAACAGAGCCCUUUGUGGUGGCAAGCAGUGACGUGAGGUUGUGUUUAUGUGAAUACAAACCCUCUCCUCCCAAGUCUGGUGACUACAGUGUUUUCUUCCCACCUCGUUGUUAAUUGUGGAAAUCUGGCUGUCACUAUUAACAUAUCAAACAGAGGUCUUGAUAUUAUCUGCAGCUGAUCAUUUGUUUAGGUUUUACCCGCAGGAAAAGUCUGGUGGCAGCCAGUCCCAGGACAGCCACGCAUGACGCACAGAAGAGUCCUUAUAGUUCCCCUGGAGGGGGUGAUGAUGCAGGCAAAUGCCACGCCUGAUCCCUUUGGGUCUCCGUGGCAACAAGGCUGCUUGUCAGACUAGAUGAUAAUGAGCCAUGAUCUGGAAGAGGCUUAUUCCAUAACAGGAGGGAGGUUUCAAAGGUAACACGUCAACAGCAAUGCCUCGGCAACAGCUGUUUGUUAUUGUAGUCGUCAAGGACAGAAAAAGGACAAGGCUGCCAGAAGAUGUUGCAUAUGGAACAGAAGAUUCUUGCCCUGGAAGAAGGAAUAGAGGAGAUGAUACCUCCCUUCUGAACAUCUCAGCACCCCAUCAAGAGAACUUCAGGUCUCUGCCAUUUAGACGUGUCAUUUGUAAGUAAAAUAAAUCAGGGAAGUAAUAGGAGGAAAGCUAAGAAUGAAAGGAAUUCAUCACCACUGCAAAUUUGUCCCUGAAGCAAGGUGAGUCCCUGCCCAUCUGGCUACACCAGCUCUUUUUUUUUUUUUUUUUUUUUUUUUUUUUUGGCCCUUACUAGACCCCACUUGGGAUUUUGUUGGCAUAUUUGCUUGGAUGUCUAUCUCCUCUGUAGUUCCUGAGGUCAAGAUUACAGUCUCUUUUUUUUUUUUUUUAGUUUUUGUAUCUAUGGUGCCUGGCAAAGAAAAGAAGCUCCAUCAAUAUUUACCAGUUGCUGGUGGCAAUGGUAAUGGUAGUUGUGUAGAAGGUGGGAAGGAUAGAAGUAUAGCUAAGUGACGGGACAUUCUAUUUCUACACCUUGUUUAGCUAUGGAGGUCUCUGGAACUAGCCAGGCUAGCCAAGACUGGGACUUCUUGUGUCUUCUCCAAGAGAGGCAGAAUGAGCCUAAUGGUUUAGAACGUGGGCUCUGGAGCCAGACAAGCCAGAUUAGAAUCCUGACUCUACUCCAAGCAGUGUGAGCUUUGGCAAGUUACAUACCCCAUCUGUGCCUCUGUGAGGAUGAAACGAGUUCCUUAGAAUGAUGCCUGGUACCCCAGAGGAGCUAUUCAGGUUCAAUUGACUCUGUUUCUAGUAUUACUGCUCAACUUAGGAAGAAAAGAAGUGCAGAAGAGGAGAGGCUUUUGCUUCAAAUUUUGAGUUUCACAUUUAACCUUGCAGUUUUAUCCCUGGGGAGCUUCUGCCUGGAUGGAGGAUGAAUCUGGUAUCUAAGCUCCUCCUUAGGGCUGUCAUUUAGACCAGUGCCAAUCCCUAGGAGUGCUUCUGAUUUCCUGCUUAUCUCCUACAAAUGUACAGUUAAGUCAAUUCAAAAGAAAAGAUAAAUGGUCCAAACAAAUCCAUUGUAGCAUACUGUAAUUCACUGUCCAUGGGGCAAUUCAUUUGCCCUUGAAUUAUUAUUAUCUUCCUUACCUGAUGUGCUUGACACUUAUGAUCUUGAACCAUGCUGGGCACCAUGGCAAAUUUUGAUAUUUGAUAUCAAAUAUCAAAAUAUUUGAUAUUUUUUCCUUGAUGCUUUUGAAGACACCUCCUCCAUAACCACGAUCAGCGACCAACACUCAAAAGGCUGAGGGGAACUGAAGCCAAGUUAGGGAAACAAUGUAAAUGCCUGGCUGGUUAACACGUGGAUAUCCAAAGAGUUGUUGGGUCUUCUCACCUCUACCCUCAUCUGCCGUGAGCACACAGUGCUCCACGGAUAUAUUCAAACUUGAAUCAGGCCAGGCACGGUGGCUCAUGCCUGUAAUCCCAGCACUUUGGGAGCCCAAGGCGGGCGGAUCACAAGGACAGGAGAUUGAGACCAUCCUGGCUAACAUGGUGAAACCCGGUCUCUACUAAAAAUACAAAAAAUUAGCCCCGCAUGGUGGCAGGUGCCUGUAGUCCCAGCUACUCGGGAGGC
rnacentral:lncRNA from 10 species